CUGCUUUGGCAGCACACAUGCUAAAACUGGAUUAAUACCGAGAAGAGUGGCAUGACCCCUGUGUGAGCAUGACACACACAUUUGUGAAGUGGGCUUCUGGAAU
ensembl:snRNA LOC120099422 U6 spliceosomal RNA